rnacentral:rRNA from 1 species
AUUGAACGCUGGCGGCAGGCUUAACACAUGCAAGUCGAGCGGAGCGAGGGUGCUUGCACCUUAGCUUAGCGGCGGACGGGUGAGUAAUGCUUAGGAAUCUGCCUAUUAGUGGGGGACAACAUUCCGAAAGGAAUGCUAAUACCGCAUACGCCCUACGGGGGAAAGCAGGGGAUCUUCGGACCUUGCGCUAAUAGAUGAGCCUAAGUCGGAUUAGCUAGUUGGUGGGGUAAAGGCCUACCAAGGCGACGAUCUGUAGCGGGUCUGAGAGGAUGAUCCGCCACACUGGGACGGAGACACGGCCCAGACUCCUACGGGAGGCAGAAGUGGGGAAUAUUGGACAAUGGGCGGAAGCCUGAUCCAGCCAUGCCGCGUGUGUGAAGAAGGCCUUUUGGUUGUAAAGCACUUUAAGCGAGGAGGAGGCUCUUAAGGUUAAUACCCUUGAUGAGUGGACGUUACUCGCAGAAUAAGCACCGGCUAACUCUGUGCCAGCCGCCGCGGUAAUAC